UUGACCUCGGAUCAGGUAGGAAGACCCGCUGAACUUAAGCAUAUCAAUAAGCGGAGGAAAAGAAACCAACAGGGAUUGCCCUAGUAACGGCGAGUGAAGCGGCAACAGCUCAAAUUUGAAAUCUGGCUUCGGCCCGAGUUGUAAUUUGCAGAGGAAGCUUUAGGCGCGGCACCUUCUGAGUCCCCUGGAACGGGGCGCCAUAGAGGGUGAGAGCCCCGUAUAGUUGGAUGCCUAGCCUGUGUAAAGCUCCUUCGACGAGUCGAGUAGUUUGGGAAUGCUGCUCAAAAUGGGAGGUAAAUUUCUUCUAAAGCUAAAUACCGGCCAGAGACCGAUAGCGCACAAGUAGAGUGAUCGAAAGAUGAAAAGCACUUUGAAAAGAGGGUUAAAUAGCACGUGAAAUUGUUGAAAGGGAAGCGCUUGUGACCAGACUUGCGCCGGGCGGAUCAUCCGGUGUUCUCACCGGUGCACUCCGCCCGGCUCAGGCCAGCAUCGGUUCUCGCGGGGGGAUAAAGGUCCUGGGAACGUAGCUCCUCCGGGAGUGUUAUAGCCCGGGGCGUAAUGCCCUCGCGGGGACCGAGGUUCGCGCAUCUGCAAGGAUGCUGGCGUAAUGGUCAUCAGCGAC
rnacentral:rRNA from 4 species